rnacentral:rRNA from 1 species
AUGGCCACCUGGCCGCCAUCCCAGCCAGCCUUGCCGGACGGUGAGCAGUGGGACUGGUCUUUGCAUCAGGAAAACCUGCGUGCACAUCUGGCACGCGCGCAAGUCAAGCACAAGAAGUUCGCAGAGCUGAAUCGAACGGAGCGGGCGUUUCAGGUCGGGGAGCAAGUUCUUCUGAAGCUGCAACCGUAUGUACAGAAGUCUGUGGGGAGCCGCCCCUGUCUGAAGCUAGCGUUCAAGUUCUUUGGCCCUUUCUCCGUCAUCGCCAGGAUCGGACCUGCGGCAUACAAACUGGAGCUCCCUACUGACAGUAAAAUCCAUCCAGUGUUUCACGUCUCGCAGUUGAAGCCAUUCACUCCAAACUACAGUCUGGUGUUCUCCGAGCUCCCGGUCACCACUGAUCUGUCCACUAAGGAGACCAUACCAGUGGAAAUACUGGACCGCAGAAUGAUGAAGAAGGGCAACGCGCCAGUGAUUCAACUUCAAGUGGCCUGGGACACGGUUCCUCCAAUGAUCACCUGGGAGGAUUACGACAUGCUCCGCCGGCGUUACCCGCAAGCAAGCAUUUGGGAAGACGACGCAACGGAGGAAGAAGAACGUUCUCAAGGAGGGGAGAAUGUCACCACGACAGUGCAAGGCACCACCGCGUGA